AGAGAAAAUCUGUGAUUGCAGUGAGCUUCAUAGCAGCGUUCCUCUUCCUGCUGGUUGUGCGCCUUGUAAAUGAAGCGAAUUUCCCAUUGCUACUAAACUGCUUUGGACAACCUGGUACAAAAUGGAUACCAUUCUCCUAUACGUACAGACGGCCCCUUCGAACUCACUAUGGAUACAUAAAUGUGAGGACGCAAGAGGAGUUCCUGUUGUGGCUCAGCAGGUUAAGAAUCUGACAUAGUGUCUGUGAAGAUACAGGCAAAGGAAGACACUGAGAAUGCCUUGGUCAGCAUCCUCCAGUCAAUGGUUUCAUGGAGGCUUCAUCUGUUCCAGUGGUAAAGCUCAUUGACCACACUUGCUGCAUCCACUGCAUGCUGGCCUCUGUGCUAGGCUCUGGAAUUGUAAAGAAGAAAACACUUUUUGUCUAAAAGUACAGAACAGUUUUUCAUAAUGUUAACUGGUAAUAAACGAGAUGGAGUAGUAUGUGUAGAGGGUUAUUUUAACUCUUUUUUUUUUUUUUUUGUCUUUUGUCUUGUUGUUGUUGUUGUUGCUAUUUCUUGGGCCGCUCCCGCGGCACAUGAAGGUUCCCAGGCUAGGGGUUGAAUCGGAGCUGUAGCCACCGGCCUACGCCAGAGCCACAGCAACGCGGGAUCCGAGCCGCGUCUGCAACCUACACCACAGCUCACGGCAACGCCGGAUCGUUAACCCACUGAGCAAGGGCAGGGACCGAACCCGAAACCUCAUGGUUCCUAGUCGGAUUCGUUAACCACUGCGCCACGACGGGAACUCCCUGUUUUAACUCUUUAAAUGUAGACACAGAAAGAAGGUUUGGAGACAGUCCCUGGAAAUAUGAACUGUAGUCUACGAGUCUAUGUCUAGAGUCUAUGUCUGGGUGGUAAAUUUUAGAUAACCUUUUUCUUCAACUUGUUUUCCAAUUUUUAUACAGUGAUCAGGUAUUGUAUUUAUUACUAGAACAAAUUACUAGAAUCAAGUACUUUAUUUUUAUUGUUUUAGCAGUAUCUAUCUGUGAAACACUCAAGCUGUUAAUAUUAUCUAGAAAAUAGAAUUUAAAAUGUCCAGAUACGAAGUCCUGUUGUGGUGCAGGGGGAUAAGGAUCCAGCUGCAGCAGCUUGGCUUACUGCUGCGGCAUGGAUUUUAUCCAGGGCGCUGGGACUUUCACAUGCCAUGGGUGCAGUCUAAAAAAUAAUUAAAUGUCCAGUAUAAGUAUAUUGUCGGAAUACUUUUAGAAGUGAGUACUCUUGGAGUUCCUGUCAUGGCUCAGUGAUAACCAACCCUGACUAGUAUCCAUGAGGACGUGGGUUCAGUCCCCAGCUUUGCUCAGUGUAUUAAGGAUCCAGCAUUGCUCUGAGAUGUGGUGUGGGCUGGUGCAUGCAGUUAGUAUCUCAUAUUGCUAUGGCUGUGGUGUAGGCUGGCAGCUACAGCUCUGAUUUUACCCCUAGCCUGGGAACUGCUAUAAGCGGGUUCAGCCCUUAAAACAAACAACUAUACAAGCAAAAAGACAAAAAUAAAAGGGCAAAAAUAAACCAGUGGGACCUAAUCAAAACUGUCAAGCUUUUGCACAGCAAAGGAAACCAUAAAAAAACCAAAAAGACAACCUAUGGAAUGAGAGAAAAUAGUUUCAAACGAAGCACCACUAAUUAUUAGAGAAAUACAAAUCAAAACUGCUUGAGGUACAACCUCACACUGGUCAGAAUGGCCAUCAUUAAUAAGUCAACAAAUAACAAAUGCUGGAGAGAAUGUGGAGAAAAGGAUACCCUCCUACACUGUUGGGAAUGUAAAUUGGUGCAAGCACUAUGGAAAACAGUAUGGAGGUACUCAGAAAACUAAGUAUAGAACUACCAUGUGACCCAGCAAUCCCACUCUUGGGCAUAUAUCUGGGUAAAACUUUCCUUGAAAAAGACAUAUGCACCUGUAUGUUCAUUGCAUCACUGUUCACAAUAGGCAAGACAUGGAAACAACCUAAAUGUCCAUCGACGGAUGAAUGGAUUAAGAACAUGUAGUAUAUAUACGCAAUAUAAUACUACUCGGCCAUAAAAAAGAACAAAAUAAUGCCAUAUGCAGCAACAUGGAUGGAACUAGAGACUCUCAUCCUGAAUGAAGUAAGUCAGAAAGAGAAAGCCAAAUGCCAUACGACAUCACUUAUAUCUGGAAUCUAAUAUGUGGCACAAGUAAACCUUUCCACAGAAGAGAAACGCGUGGACUUGGAGAAGAGAUUUGUGGUUGCCAAGGCGGAGGGGGAGGGAGUGGAAUGAACUGGGAGUCUGGGGUUUAUAGAUGCAUUCUGUUGUAUUUGGAGUGGGUAAGCAAUGAGAUCCUGCUGUAUAGCACAGGGAACUAUAUCUAAUCACUUGUGAUGGAACAUGAUCGAUGCUAAUGUGAGAAAAAGAAUGUAUAUAGGUGUGUGUGUGUGACUGGGUCACUUUGCUGUACAGUAUAAAAUUGACAGAACACUGUAAACCAAUUAUAAUCAAAAAAUAAAAAUCAUUGAAAUUAAAAAAUAAUUUAAAAAAAAGAAA
ensembl:lncRNA